ACUUUAUUUAAUGAAGUCAAUGCUCGAAAAAUCCAUGGGCAGCGAAACAUAUUGGAGGGAUUAAAGAGAAAUCCAGUGUUUUUAGGAAUUUGGAUUGGGACAUUUGUAGCACAGAUAAUCCUAGUACAGUUUGGUGGGACAGUGUUUUCUACUAAGGCUCUGACACUGGACCAGUGGUUCUGGUGUGUGUUUCUGGGAGUUAGCACUUUAUUAUGGGGACAGAUUAUCACCACUAUUCCAACAUCUGUCUUGCCUAAGAGGAUCUGCUCUUGGGGCGGCAAGAAGCAACAGGAAGUGGAGGAAGACCAAGAGGAAGAAGCUGAGGAAGUGGACGGAGUUCCAGGGCGACGCGGCCAGAUCUUGUGGAUCAGAGGCCUGGCACGUCUCCAGACUCAGAUCCGUGUUGUCAACGCUUUCCAAAUGGACUUUGACACUUCCCAGUUAGACAGCUACGAUAAAAGGAGUCGGCCCUCAGUAAUUAGUCUUCAAUCUUUACAAUCAGCCCAGCAAAGGUCGGCCGUCGCCAAAAAACCCAAUCUGGCGAGCUCGCCGGAAAUAGAUGAAGGCAACAGUCGCGGCCCCUGGUUUGGAAGACAAGACAGUAUUCCAUACGCAGACGAAUAAGAUCAAUGAAAAUAGUUUUGAAUAUAGGUUUUAUUUUAAUUACACUCGGAAUAUUCCAUGGACUCGUUAUUUAUCCCUUGGUUUUAUUUUUUACUUCGUGUUCCUUUACUUGCUAAUGGUUAACUGCCCGUUUAAUAUGUUUGGUUUUAGACGUAAAGGUUUAUCAAAGUGUUUGCCCCAUCCCUUGUAAUGGCAGGUCAUCGAUAAAACGGAUGCUGAUUGUCAUGCAUGAAUGUUUGGCUUCCAGAAUAAAAGAUUAGGUAGACCACCCGGAAUUGCUUGAUUGAAAGACAGGAAAGGUUUACCAGAAUCCAAAAAAAAAAAAUAUUUACAUAUCUUAACCGCCAGUAGAGGCCAUCUCACUACAAUGUAGUUUUACAUUUAAAAUUGCAUGUCGAUUGGAUAAAUGUGUGCAUCCUUUGAUAUAAACCUGAUUAACCUGGACACUUUAAAAGUAAACUUGUAUGACUGUAGGAAUAGCCGGUAUAUUUAAAAAAGUACAUUAAAAAAGUUAUUGGGAUUUUUAAAAAUUAAGGGCUUAAAAUAUCCACUGAGGGGGGACUGUCUAGCUCUUUCUAGUAUUAGCUAACACGGCAGCUAUGAUUUGUGUUAAUAUUUAUUAUAGUCAUUAUAGAAGAAAAAAUAUGCAACUAGUAAAGAAAUAAAUAUAAGCUAAUAAAUUAAGUAAAGACUUGUAAAACGAGACGUCAUCAUAAACUUCACUAGUUUCGGUAAUGUUUGCAUUAUCUCCCCUUUCUUGUAGACUUCUUAAAAGUCCGGAGCUUUCAGGAAAGAUGUUCCAGCGAACAACCGGAUGAGGAAGUGACGUCAUUAUUGGAACAAUUUAAAAUUUUCUGCUUUACGUAGCUCAACCUUUUUUCGUCAACCCUGAUGCGCACUGACUGAAGGACAUCAGAAUUUGCGCGCCAUUAUACUAAUAUAUGUAUCCACGAGACUCUUGUAGCAUAGUAACCUGGCAUGUCGAUAUUAAGGCAUGGCUCAUCACUAACCUAGAGUAAACUGAUUGGUGUUGAAAAAUUACUAUUAUUCCUUAGAGGUGGAAUGUAUUAAAGUGUUACGGGAGAUAUCACCUAUUAUACAAGUAUGCAUGCGACAUGUAUUUUGCAGUGAAUUGUCUAGUUAUUAUUCUAUUGUCUUCAUUAAUUGUAAAAUGUGACAUUGCGUCAUUUUUAUUUUUGGACACAAACUAUUUAACGUAACUUUGUUGUUUCAUGCAUAUUGCAUACACCAAGAAAUGCUGUUCAUGUUGUCAAGAUACGAGAUGAUGUAUACAUUAUUCCUAUUGUAAUUCAUCAACUGAUAUUAUAGAUCAUCAUUGAAUGAGGUGCACUGUGGAAAAUCUUUACGUACGAUCAGACUGGUUGCGUCAGCAAAUGUUCACAAUUUUUUUAUAUUCCUCUCUCCCUCUCUCUAGCACCGUUUCACUGUUGUAACCAAAUAUGCAGAAAAAUACUUUGCACAGUUUUCAAAUAUUAGCACUUUCAAGCCACAAAUCAGCAAAGAUUUAUUAAGAAUAUGAGAUAUUUCAAUUAUCUAAGAUUUGAAGAUUGAAUUGAAACCUGUUGAUUUUUAACUUCACAUAAUACUUGUUUCAGAUGCACUGACUUUUAACUAAGAUGUAAUGUAUGUAGCAGAAUGGCUAUAUAUAUUUGUUGAUUUGGAAUGUUAAGGAUAUUCACCAUUCUUGUUGAGUUUUUGUUCGUCUUGUACAUACACACAUAUAUUUAAUACCCUCUUCCAGCCAUUUUGAUUUUGUGAGUAGAGGAAGCAUGUUGCUAACUUGUUGCACUAUUUAAUAUUGAAGACGAGGCUGGCGCGCAAGGUCUGCUAUAAUUGACUGGAUGCUGCAAAUGUCUUACAUUAUUACUAUUGAAAUAAUCUAUCCAACCGUUCCACUCAGUUCUAUACACCGUUAUUAUGAGAUACAUAUCUCACUGAGCUAGAAAUAUCUUGCUAUUGAACUCUGCCAUGGCGCACAGAUAUAAUUUAGAUGGAGAAUUAACAAAAAUCUCGAUUCCCUUUGCAGGGAGUAUAGCUGUUAAUUAGUUAAUACACGUACUUGGCCUUGAACACAAACUAUAUUUAGACAUCAGUCUCGGAAUACGAUGUGGUUUGUUAUAGUUGUGUAGGUAUCCCCAUGCAGGAGAAUCCUGUUACUAUAUUUAGAGUGGCUUCUGUCUUACUUCGUUCGAACAGAGGAUUUUAUGAAUAAAGAUUACCCCCUUCCCCCCAAAAAAAAAACUGCUUGUGAUUCUGUUUGUAUGAGUUGAAUGCGAUUUGAAGAAAACUUAUAUUAUAUAUAAAGGUUUUGUACAAGGUUUUGUGAUAUAAGAAAACAAGGUUUAUAUAAUUUAUUGUGUUUUUAAUCCAAAGUGUGUUGUAUUAGAAACAUGUUGAAAUAAAGAAAUAACCUUUUUACAAAACUGG
rnacentral:misc_RNA from 1 species